GACGAACGCUGGCGGCGUGCCUAAUACAUGCAAGUAGAACGCUGAAGAGAGGAGCUUGCUCUUCUUGGAUGAGUUGCGAACGGGUGAGUAACGCGUAGGUAACCUGCCUUGUAGCGGGGGAUAACUAUUGGAAACGAUAGCUAAUACCGCAUAACAAUGGAUGACACAUGUCAUUUAUUUGAAAGGGGCAAUUGCUCCACUACAAGAUGGACCUGCGUUGUAUUAGCUAGUAGGUGAGGUAACGGCUCACCUAGGCGACGAUACAUAGCCGACCUGAGAGGGUGAUCGGCCACACUGGGACUGAGACGCGGCCCAGACUCCUACGGGAGGCAGCAGUAGGGAAUCUUCGGCAAUGGGGGCAACCCUGACCGAGCAACGCCGCGUGAGUGAAGAAGGUUGUCGGAUCGUAAAGCUCUGUUGUAAGUCAAGAACGAGUGUGAGAGUGGAAAGUUCACACUGUGACGGUAGCUUACCAGAAAGGGACGGCUAACUACGUG
rnacentral:rRNA from 1 species